rnacentral:lncRNA from 1 species
AGUUAAUUUUUUCAUGUGCCUGCAACAGGACUGCAACGGUGACGGAAAUCUCUGUUGAGAAUGUGGACGCUAGAAAAUCCGGGGAUAUGUAGUACGGAAACCCACACACACCCCCCCAGACACACUGACCACGGCACCACAUGAAUUCACAAAAGACAUGAGCAGGCCCCUUGCACGGGAUCCCACCCCACCUUCAGAGAACACAGUUGUUCCCGGGGACUGCAGAAUGUGGCCACUGUUUCUUAUCUAGAAAAACCAUUUCUCCCAUCACAGUCUAGGUCCUCAUUCACAACAUGAAGCUCAGCUCAGGCUGCCCGUCUACAGGAAAGCCAGUGAGACAGGGCCACAUUCCUCAACAUCUGGAUUACUCAUCAGUAUGAGAGGGGUUCCCCAAUACGUACCACGUUGUGGAACUCCCAAGGAUGUCUGUAACGACAGAAAAUAAAUUGCUAUGAGCAUCAGACCAUGCUGUGUCCUGUGAGCACAGGACUUUUCUUCACUUAGUGACAUUAGAAAACAAGAUGGAAAACCAGUGUUCAAAGGAACCCCAAAGAAGAACAGAGCAAAUCAACUCAUACUAAAGACACACAUUUUUCUCAGAGGAUGUUUCCUCUGAAGUCCAUGUUGGCUGGCAAGUAGCUGAUUUUGCUCCAAAGAGAACAAAAUUGGUAAGGCUCACUGCUACACAACGGGUGACUGAUGCUGUCAUUUUCUCCCACUGUCUUAAAUCAAGCCUCAGUGGGGACAGACUCUCACUUACCAUUUCCCCCAAGGACACUGUGUAACUAAGAUAUAUAUCGUCAGAUUCUCAUAUCUUAAUUUAAUCCCAAUAAGAUAAAGCUAAGAAAGCAACAGUUUUUUCUCAGACAAAUCCAGGUGGCCUGACCUUCACCUCCUCUGGGUCCUCCUCCUCGCCGUUGUAACUGGACAGCUCCUGAAGUACAUCCCUGAUCAGAACUAGGAGAAUACAAAGUGACCGUCAGCACCUUGGUGGUGGUGCUCAUGCACAAUUCAGUAACACUGCUUGAGGUGGGUUUGGGCGCAGUGCAGGCUGUGUGUCCCUGGCAGUCUCUUAGGGCUCCUCCUUCCUAAUCUGACCUGAGCUAACUUGCCCUCUUAUUGAUCCCUGACAAAGUCAUUUCCUCCUCAGAAUCCACAUGUGCUGCUGAUCUGUUUA